GAUGAACGCUGGCGGCGUGCCUAAUACAUGCAAGUCGAGCGAACAGACGAGGAGCUUGCUCCUCUGACGUUAGCGGCGGACGGGUGAGUAACACGUGGAUAACCUACCUAUAAGACUGGGAUAACUUCGGGAAACCGGAGCUAAUACCGGAUAAUAUAUUGAACCGCAUGGUUCAAUAGUGAAAGACGGUUUUGCUGUCACUUAUAGAUGGAUCCGCGCCGCAUUAGCUAGUUGGUAAGGUAACGGCUUACCAAGGCGACGAUGCGUAGCCGACCUGAGAGGGUGAUCGGCCACACUGGAACUGAGACACGGUCCAGACUCCUACGGGAGGCAGCAGUAGGGAAUCUUCCGCAAUGGGCGAAAGCCUGACGGAGCAACGCCGCGUGAGUGAUGAAGGUCUUCGGAUCGUAAAACUCUGUUAUUAGGGAAGAACAAAUGUGUAACUAACUAUGCACGUCUUGACGGUACCUAAUCAGAAAGCCACGGCUAACUACGUG
rnacentral:rRNA from 1 species